UUUAAAACUAAAUCAGAAAAGUGCUCUUCUCCUUUGUUAAUUCUGCACAAAUGAACAUGCUAUGUUUCUCUAUUCACAACCUCCUUUACCUCAGCUCACACCAUUACAACUUCCCAAGCACUAAGCGAUAACCGCAACGACACUCUCAUCUCAUCCAACGCCGCCUUCGCCUUGGGCUUUUACAGCCCACGGAGCUCCAAGAAUCGCUACGAGUGGGCAUAUGGUACAACCACAACAACAUGAGAGACAAGACCGUGGUGUGGGUCGCCAACCGAGACGACCCGCUCCCCGAUCGAUCAGGCGUGCUCCGGGUCAUCCCGCCAGGCCGCCUGCUCAUUCUCAACAACGCUACUAUCUGGUCUGCCAACAGUUCACGCACUGCGCAGCACUGCUCUCCUCUGGCGCUUCUGCUCGACUCUGGGAAUCUCGUCUUGGUGGAUGAAAGCGACGAGAGCAGUAUGAUAUGGCAGAGCUUCGACUAUCCAACUGACACUUUCUUACCAGAUGUUAGAAUGAGGCUCAGUAAGAACUUUGUGUCCGGGCAAGAAGUCUACGUCUCGUCGGCUAAAAGCAAUGAUGAUCCGGCAACAGGUGGCUUCACGUAUCGCUGCGAUCCCAGUGUCUAUCCGCAGACUGUGAUCAAAGAAGGUGGCUCGUUCCGGUACAAAGGAGGGCCGUGGAAUGGUGUUAGCUUCAGUGGCACUCCGAACUUGACAAUCCGAGGAAUUCUAGUGAAACCUAGGAGGAGCAAAAGAUACAAAUGUUUGAAUUAUCCACAAUGAUCAAUGCUACUAAUGGAUUUUCAAUCAGUAAUAAGUUGGGAGAGGGUGGAUUUGGGCCGGUUUUUAAGGGAUUGCUGGAGGGACAGGACAUUGCUGUGAAACGACUAUCAACAACUUCCCUUCAAGGAGCACAUGAGUUCAAGAAUGAGUUAAUCUGUAUCGCCAAACUUCGGCUUUUAGGAUGUUGCAUUCAAGGAGAAGAAAGGAUGCUCGUUUAUGAAUACAUGACCAACAAAAGCCUCGACUUAAUACUAUUCGGUUAACGUUCUUUCACAUUUAGCAUCCACCUCAAUUUUAUAGUACAUCAUAGGAAAGAACUAUGAUGUAUAAAUCACACAUAACUGUUGCAAAGUUUACCAAGAUGAGAUGUAGCAAAUCUUUAUCAAUUUCGUAAAAAAAAUGUGUAUAUGUUUCCUCACUUUUCUGGCAGAUCAAGUGAAGAGAAGGAUGCUAGACUGGCCAAGACGCUUCGAUAUUAUUAAUGGAAUUGCAAGAGGCCUUACCUAUCUUCAUCAAGAUCCCCGCCUUAGAGUUAUCCAUAGAGAUCACAAAGCCAGUAAUAUAUUACUAGACUCAGACAUGAUUCCUAAAAUAUCAGACUUUGGCCUUGCAAGAAUAUGUGGAGGCAACGAAACUGGAGCCAAAACAAGCCGAGCUGUAGUGGCUACAUGUCCCCGGAGUACGCUGUAGACGGUUUAUUUUCAGUGAAAUCGGACGUGUUUAGCUUUGGUGUUCUGGUGCUGGAAAUUAUAAGUGGCAAUAGUAACAGAGGAUUCACUCUGGUGAAUCAUCGCCACAACCUUCUUGGACAUGCAUGGAUGCUUUACAAAGAAGAAAGGUCACUUGAGCUAGCAGAUUCUUGUUUGGAAUAUUCAAGCUAUAUAUCACAAGUGGCGCGAUCGAUACAUGUGGGUCUUUAGUGCGUUCAAGAAGAGACGGAAGAGAGGCCAAACAUGUCUUCAGUGGUGCUGAUGCUGAACAAUGAUGGGGUUCUGCCCCAACCAAAACAUCCUGGUUUCUUCACAGGAAGAGAUGUAGUAAUAAGAAGUGAAACUUGGCACAGCUCUAACACUGCAGGUGCCGCUAAUGCAAUGACCAUUUUUAGUUAAACAAAUUCAAACUAAAAAUUACAGAUUAAAUUUGUAUAAUUACGAGACUGCUAUAGGAAUUUGAGUUGAAUGAGAAAUGGGGCAUUAUAACGUUUGAAUUGCUGAGGCAUUUCAGCAUUUCUUUUGGAAAA